AAUGAGUCUUCUUCAGGCCAACACACGGGCUGCUGUCUUCGUGUGUAUCAAACCGGCUAUAUUUCGAGUGGAAUGAGUCUUCUUCAGGCCAACACACGGGCUGCUGUCUUCAUGUGUAUCAAACCGGCUAUAUUUCGAGUGGAAUGAGUCUUCUUCAGGCCAACACACGGGCUGCUGUCUUCGUGUGUAUUAAACCGACUAUAUUUCGACUGGAAUGAGUCUUCUUCAGGCCAACACACGGGCUGCUGUCUUCGUGUGUAUUAAACCGACUAUAUUUCGACUGGAAUGAGUCUUCUUCAGGCCAACACACGGGCUGCUGUCUUCGUGUGUAUCAAACCGGCUAUAUUUCGAGUGGAAUGAGUCUUCUUCAGGCCAACACACGGGCUGCUGUCUUCGUGUGUAUUAAACCGACUAUAUUUCGACUGGAAUGAGUCUUCUUCAGGCCAACACACGGGCUGCUGUCUUCGUGUGUAUUAAACCGACUAUAUUUCGACUGGAAUGAGUCUUCUUCAGGCCAACACACGGGCUGCUGUCUUCGUGUGUAUCAAACCGGCUAUAUUUCGAGUGGAAUGAGUCUUCUUCAGGCCAACACACGAUGGAAGAGCACAUUAUGCGCCUUUGCGAGGAACUAGAAAGAGAGAGGGAGGAGAGGAACUACUUCCAGCUGGAACGAGACAUGGUCCAGUCCUGUCUAGAUGUUACCAAUAAAAAAUUGGAGAAGGUUAAGGCAGAACUUAAAACCAUGAACAAGGCCAUAGAGGAUGAUGAGGCAAGUCACCAAGUAGA